rnacentral:rRNA from 1 species
GACAGAGGGUGCAAACGUUGUUCGGAAUUACUGGGCGUAAAGCGCGUGUAGGCUGCUCGGAAAGUCGGGUGUGAAAGCCCUGGGCUCAACCUAGGAAGUGCACUCGAAACUUCCGAGCUGGAGUGCUGGAGAGGAAGGCGGAAUUCUCGGUGUAGAGGUGAAAUUCGUAGAUAUCGAGAGGAACAUCGGUGGCGAAGGCGGCCUUCUGGACAGCGACUGACGCUGAGACGCGAAAGCGUGGGGAGCAAACAGG